rnacentral:rRNA from 1 species
CAGUAGCCGCGGUAAUACGGAGGGGGCUAGCGUUGUUCGGAAUUACUGGGCGUAAAGCGCACGUAGGCUGCUUUGUAAGUCAGAGGUGAAAGCCCGGGGCUCAACCCCGGAUGUGCCUUUGAGACUGCAGGGCUAGAACGUCGGAGAGGUGAGUGGAAUUCCGAGUGUAGAGGUGAAAUUCGUAGAGAUCGGAAGGAACAUCUGUGGCGAAGGCGACUAUCUGGGCCAACACUGACACUGAGGCACGAAAGCGUGGGGAGCAAACAGGAUUAGAUACCCCAGUAGUCCCUGUCUCUUAUAC